UACUGCAGGGAGCAGGCAGUUAUCGCACAAGCGUGCAUCCUCAGAGCCAGGAUAAACACUCCGUUACUCUCCCUCUAAACUGCUCUUCUGGGAGGGAGAGAAAAUAAAUAGGGAGCGAGAGAGGCAUUUGAAGUAACCUUCUUAAGGAGGAGGAAGCAGCCAAUAGAACCUUUUUUCUUUUUUUGUUGUGUUCUUUUUUUUUUCUCCCCCACUUCUUACUAAAGAAAUUCGUGUUACCUCAGCAAUUAAGGAGAAGAGCCAGCGUCUAGGGUUCCAGGCUGUGAGGGGGAGUAGCAACUUGUACCAGCAGUAUAGCUCUGUCACACUCUUCAGCUGAGCCUGUGGGAGAUGAAGAGAGACUUCCUCGGGCCUUCAGAAAGGGAAGAAGUUUGGAAGUAAUAAUUAGGUGAGUUUGAAAGAAGCAACUGCAGCAGCAUUUUGUUAUGAAUCCCUUUGUCACAGGAUUUGAGGUUCCAAUUAAAACUGUGUUUGGGCCAUUGCUUUGCCUGCCAGUACUUAAUCUUUCCUGAAAGCCUCAUCACUUAUCUAAAACAGAAGAACGAGGUAAGGAGAGAAAGUAAUGAAAUGCAGCAUAACGCAUCUGUCAAAGGAACAGA